UGGUGGAGUGAUUUGUCUGGUUAAUUCCGUUAACGAACGAGACCUUAGCCUGCUAACUAGAUAUAUAGAUCUCGAUCUUUAUUAUCUUCUUAGAGGGACUUUGUGAUUAAACACAAGGAAGUUUGAGGCAAUAACA
rnacentral:rRNA from 1 species